UGGGGAAUAUUGGACAAUGGGCGCAAGCCUGAUCCAGCCAUGCCGCGUGAGUGAUGAAGGCCUUAGGGUUGUAAAACUCUUUCGAUGGUGAAGAUAAUGACGGUAACCAUUAAAGAAGCCCCGGCUAAUUUCGUGCCAGCAGCCGCGGUAAUACGAAAGGGGCAAGCGUUGUUCGGAAUUACUGGGCGUAAAGCGUGUGUAGGCGGCUUAUCAAGUUAGGGGUGAAAUCCCGGAGCUCAACUCCGGAACUGCCUCUAAAACUGGUAGGCUCGAGGAUGUGAGAGGAUAGUGGAAUUCCGAGUGGAGAGGUGAAAUUCGUAGAUAUUCGGAAGAACACCAGUGGCGAAGGCGACUGUCUGGCACAUUUCUGACGCUGAGACACGAAAGCGUGGGGAGCGAACAGGAUUAGAUACCCGUGUAGUCC
rnacentral:rRNA from 1 species